CAAUAGCGUAUAUUAAAGUUGUUGCGGAUAAAAAGCUCGUAGUUGGAUUUCUGCUGAGAACGACCGGUCCGCCCUUUGGGUGUGUAUCUGGCUCUUUCUUGGCAUCUUCUUGGUGAACGUUGCUGCACUUGACUGUGUGGAGCGCUACCCAGGACUUUUACUUUGAGGAAAUUAGAGUGUUUCAAGCAGGCAUACGCCUUGAAUACAUUAGCAUGGAAUAAUAAGAUAGGACCUCGGUUCUAUUUUGUUGGUUUCUAGAGCUGAGGUAAUGAUUAAUAGGGAUAGUUGGGGGCAUUCGUAUUUAACUGUCAGAGGUGAAAUUCUUGGAUUCGUUAAAGACGGACUACUGCGAAAGCAUUUGCCAAGGAUGUUUUCAUUGA
rnacentral:rRNA from 1 species